UACGAAGGGGGCUAGCGUUGCUCGGAAUCACUGGGCGUAAAGCGCACGUAGGCGGCUUUCUAAGUCAGGGGUGAAAUCCUGGAGCUCAACUCCAGAACUGCCUUUGAUACUGGAGAGCUUGAGUACGAGAGAGGUGAGUGGAAUUCCCAGUGUAGAGGUGAAAUUCGUAGAUAUUUGGAAGAACACCGGUGGCGAAGGCGGCUCACUGGCUCGUAACUGACGCUCAGGCGCGAUAGCGUGGGGAGCAAACAGG
rnacentral:rRNA from 1 species